rnacentral:rRNA from 1 species
GACGAACGCUGGCGGCGUGCCUAAUACAUGCAAGUAGAACGCUGAAGAGAGGAGCUUGCUCUUCUUGGAUGAGUUGCGAACGGGUGAGUAACGCGUAGGUAACCUGCCUUGUAGCGGGGGAUAACUAUUGGAAACGAUAGCUAAUACCGCAUAACAAUGGAUGACCCAUGUCAUUUAUUUGAAAGGGGCAAAUGCUCCACUACAAGAUGGACCUGCGUUGUAUUAGCUAGUAGGUGAGGUAACGGCUCACCUAGGCGACGAUACAUAGCCGACCUGAGAGGGUGAUCGGCCACACUGGGACUGAGACACGGCCCAGACUCCUACGGGAGGCAGCAGUAGGGAAUCUUCGGCAUUGGGGGCAACCCUGGCCGAGCAACGCCGCGUGAGUGAAGAAGGUUUUCGGAUCGUAAAGCUCUGUUGUAAGUCAAGAACGAGUGUGAGAGUGGAAAGUUCACACUGUGACGGUAGCUUACCAGAAAGGGACGGCUAACUACGUG